rnacentral:rRNA from 1 species
GGGGGUUUCAAAAUGAGGUAUUUACCCAGUUAAGCGCGCUUGGGCUAGAGUAGUAUUGGGAUGGGUGACCUCCCGAGAAGUCCCAGUGUUGUACCCU